rnacentral:rRNA from 1 species
AUUGAACGCUGGCGGCAUGCCUUACACAUGCAAGUCGAACGGUAACGGGCCUUCGGGUGCCGACGAGUGGCGCACGGGUGAGUAAUACAUCGGAACGUGCCCGAUCGUGGGGGAUAACGAGGCGAAAGCUUUGCUAAUACCGCAUACGAUCUACGGAUGAAAGCAGGGGACCGCAAGGCCUUGCGCGGACGGAGCGGCCGAUGGCAGAUUAGGUAGUUGGUGGGAUAAAAGCUUACCAAGCCGACGAUCUGUAGCUGGUCUGAGAGGAUGAUCAGCCACACUGGGACUGAGACACGGCCCAGACUCCUACGGGAGGCGGCAGUGGGGAAUUUUGGACAAUGGGCGCAAGCCUGAUCCAGCCAUGCCGCGUGCAGGAUGAAGGCCUUCGGGUUGUAAACUGCUUUUGUACGGAACGAAAAGCCUUCUUUUAAUACAGGAGGGUCAUGACGGUACCGUAAGAAUAAGCACCGGCUAACUACGUG